GGAUCCGGAUUGGACGACUGAUCGGAGGAACUGAGAGAGCAGGAGAGUGACCAUAGCCGGAGGAGAGCAACCACAGCCAGCAACCACAGCAGUUGGGCGUGCUGCUCCUGUCUUUGCCAAUCAUCUCCUUGAACGGUUCCUGAGUCCCUUUGGGUACAUCUUGUAGGAUAAUGUUCCAGCCCCCAUUUGGAUCCCAGCCCAG